CGAAAAAUCUGCGGCGUUUUUCACCAUCAGGUCAUAGCAACAAAACCCAAACGGCUGUUUUUUUUUUUAUAUCCUGAGCGGGAUGUCGUUUGUACGGAUUAACCGAAGGCCAAUGCGAACGAAGAAAGUGUCAGUGCCCAAGAAAGAAUGGGUGAGCACAGUUAAUGAUCUGUCAGUACACAAGUCUACGUCUGAGGAACUGUCCAGGCGUCAUGACAUACACCGAUCUCGGAACAGAGCUGCUGCACAGUGGGAGCUGAAGAGGAGAAAGCCCCAGAACACCAGCCCUCCUGGACUCCACCAGACCAGACUGAGGUUAUUCAGAGAGAUGUUCUCAGAUCAUUGUGAGCUGCAGGAUGUUCUUGCACGGUCUGACCGAACACUGGCGUUGGUGAAAGAUCUGUUCGGUGAUGCACCUCGCAGACAGAAAGGUUUUCCAAGUGUUACCGUGGCACCUGACUGCGAGUCAGACUCUGAACUUCCUGUGCUGCAGAAACCGGAUCCACCAACACAUCUGUCACUGCUCAGCCAGUCCAUGAUGGAUCAACAGGCUUUAAAUGAAGUGGAUGAUUCUGCAGCGGAGCAUGGAUACGAUCUUCAGGAUGUCUCGGUCAGCUUCGACAGUGAAAUGUGCAGGCCAAAGAGAAAAACAUGUAAAGUAAAGCCUCCUGUUUGGAGAACAACUCAGCAACCACAGCAGCAGAACGUGCCUCAGACUCCCUGUAAUACAAGUUCAGAGGAUCAUGCAGCUUUGAACGCAACUGUGGCUGUGCAGCGUGUAAAGUCGAGACAGUCUCAGUCAGAAGCAGAUCAAUCCACAGCUCUCAUCAAUCAGGUCCUCAAUCCUGAACCGUCUCCUUCUCAUUCUGGUGGUAAGAGCAGGUCUCUCAGAACCACUAGAGGGCACUCUCCUGAAGCCUCAGGGUUUAGCUGUCAGAGUGCUAACCAGUCAAGCCUGGAGCUGCUGCAGGACAUGCUGGCUCAGGUGGAGACUGAACUAGACUACUUGGAGCCGAAGGAUCUUCUUGGACCCUCAGAGCAAACCGAGCCUCAGCAUGGCCGUGGCCUUACCGGUUUCUCUGUGUCUCUUGUUGGUACACUUGGGCGCAUCGUCAGUCAUCUGAGAAAGAGGGACGAGGAGGCGCAUGUAAGGCGGAGGAUGGAAGAGGAAAUGAAGGAGCAGAGAAACCUGAUUGAUGCCCUCACAGCAGAAUGUCUCACACUGAGAGAAGAAAGUGCUGCCCUAAAGGCGAAUGUGCAGGAGCAGAUAUCUGAACUGGAACAACGGCUGGACAUGGUGAUCCUUGCAAUGGGAGAGCUGGGAAAAGACAGAGACACAGAGGGCGAAGAGGAACAAGCACCAAGUCGAGGCCUCCAGCCUGUACCUGCUGAGAGAGACCAACAGGAGGCAGCAUCUGUCAGUCCUGCUGUUCUCCUCUCUCCUCCACACCAGAGAGACAGCAGAGCGCCGCCGACAGCACGUGCCCGAUCUCUGCACUUCGAGGAGUCUCGCACACCAGGCAGCGGCUCGCCAGGAGAGUCGGAUAUCUCACGCACUCCGUCCUCAUUUGCUAGCCUGCCCGAGAGAGUUCUACCCCAUCCUGCCCUGCUGCUGAACCAGCUAUCCCAGGAUGCUAUGCUACAACAGAUAGCGGAGUUAACCCGUCAAAACGCAAUGAUCCAGGAUCAGCUGGGGCACAGCCACGCCUCUCCUACUCCGUGUUCAGACAGAGGUGUAUCGCCCACCGCCGAACCACGGCCAACACGACAGGUGACAUUGCUGAGGACUGUAAACUUUCAUUCAUUCAUCUUCUACUGCUUAUCCGAACUACCUCGGGUCACGGGGAGCCUCUCAGGCAUCAUCGGGCAUCAAGUGUGUGGGUGUGGAAGGUUCAUCAGGCAGGCUCCUGGAGGACAGACUUCAGGAACUGAACAGACAGAAUGCAGCAGCCAGGACAAAACUGCUGGAGCUUAUCGAGCAGCAGAGACCGAGCACAUCUCACAGCACCUCUCCAUCCAUCUCCCCCAUAUCCCUACACUCCACCAGUCCUCACACAGUUAUUGGAAGGCAGACUCCUGAAGUGUGCGUGUCCGUACCUGAAAAAGCUCAUCCGUCUCACUCCAGGACAAACAGCAGAAGGUCAGUCGAAGCGGUUUCUCCACAAAAUGUAGAGGGAAGACAAAAGCAGUCCAAUACACAGGUGGAUAAACUGAAAGGAGAAGGCUGGUUUGCUCUGUCUGCUCAUGUCUGAAAGCUCGACCGACC